GAACGCACAUUGCGCCCGCCAGUAUUCUGGCGGGCAUGCCUGUUCGAGCGUCAUUUCAACCCUCAAGCCCCCGGGCUUGGUGUUGGGGAUCGGCGUGCCCUCGCGGCGCGCCGUCCCCUAAAUCUAGUGGCGGUCUCGCUGUAGCUUCCUCUGCGUAGUAGCAACACUCGCACUGGAUCGCAGCGCGGCCACGCCGUUAAACCCCCCACUUCUGAAAGUUUGACCUCGGAUCAGGUAGGAAAUACCCGCUGAACUUAAG
rnacentral:misc_RNA from 1 species